GGGUUGUGAGGUUAAGCGACUAAGCGUACACGGUGGAUGCCCUGGCAGUCAGAGGCGAUGAAGGACGUGCUAAUCUGCGAAAAGCGUCGGUAAGGUGAUAUGAACCGUUACAGCCGGCGAUGUCCGAAUGGGGAAACCCAGUGCAAUUCGUUGCACUAUCGUUAACUGAAUACAUAGGUUAACGAGGCGAACCGGGGGAACUGAAACAUCUAAGUACCCCGAGGAAAAGAAAUCAACCGAGAUUCCCCCAGUAGCGGCGAGCGAACGGGGAGCAGCCCAGAGUCUGAAUCAGCUUGUGUGUUAGUGGAACGGUCUGGAAAGUCCGACGGUACAGGGUGAUAGUCCCGUACACCAAAAUGCACAGGCUGUGAACUCGAAGAGUAGGGCGGGACACGUGGUAUCCUGUCUGAAUAUGGGGGGACCAUCCUCCAAGGCUAAAUACUCCUGACUGACCGAUAGUGAACCAGUACCGUGAGGGAAAGGCGAAAAGAACCCCGGCGAGGGGAGUGAAAAAGAACCUGAAACCGUGUACGUACAAGCAGUGGGAGCACCUUCGGGUGUGACUGCGUACCUUUUGUAUAAUGGGUCAGCGACUUAUAUUCUGUAGCAAGGUUAACCGUAUAGGGGAGCCGCAGGGAAACCGAGUCUUAACUGGGCGUUAAGUUGCAGGGUAUAGACCCGAAACCCGGUGAUCUAGCCAUGGGCAGGUUGAAGGUUGGGUAACACUAACUGGAGGACCGAACCGACUAAUGUUGAAAAAUUAGCGGAUGACUUGUGGCUGGGGGUGAAAGGCCAAUCAAACCGGGAGAUAGCUGGUUCUCCCCGAAAGCUAUUUAGGUAGCGCCUCGUGAAUUCAUCUUCGGGGGUAGAGCACUGUUUCGGCUAGGGGGUCAUCCCGACUUACCAACCCGAUGCAAACUACGAAUACCGAAGAAUGUUAUCACGGGAGACACACGGCGGGUGCUAACGUCCGUCGUGAAGAGGGAAACAACCCAGACCGCCAGCUAAGGUCCCAAAGUCAUGGUUAAGUGGGAAACGAUGUGGGAAGGCACAGACAGCCAGGAUGUUGGCUUAGAAGCAGCCAUCAUUUAAAGAAAGCGUAAUAGCUCACUGGUCGAGUCGGCCUGCGCGGAAGAUGUAACGGGGCUAAACCAUGCACCGAAGCUGCGGCAGCGACACUAUGUGUUGUUGGGUAGGGGAGCGUUCUGUAAGCCUGCGAAGGUGUGCUGUGAGGCAUGCUGGAGGUAUCAGAAGUGCGAAUGCUGACAUAAGUAACGAUAAAGCGGGUGAAAAGCCCGCUCGCCGGAAGACCAAGGGUUCCUGUCCAACGUUAAUCGGGGCAGGGUGAGUCGACCCCUAAGGCGAGGCCGAAAGGCGUAGUCGAUGGGAAACAGGUUAAUAUUCCUGUACUUGGUGUUACUGCGAAGGGGGGACGGAGAAGGCUAUGUUAGCCGGGCGACGGUUGUCCCGGUUUAAGCAUGUAGGCUGAUUGUCCAGGCAAAUCCGGAUAAUCAAGGCUGAGGUGUGAUGACGAGGCACUACGGUGCUGAAGUAACAAAUGCCCUGCUUCCAGGAAAAGCCUCUAAGCAUCAGGUAACAUUAAAUCGUACCCCAAACCGACACAGGUGGUCAGGUAGAGAAUACCAAGGCGCUUGAGAGAACUCGGGUGAAGGAACUAGGCAAAAUGGUGCCGUAACUUCGGGAGAAGGCACGCUGGUGUGUAGGUGAAGUCCCUGCGGAUGGAGCUGAGACCAGUCGAAGAUACCAGCUGGCUGCAACUGUUUAUUAAAAACACAGCACUGUGCAAACACGAAAGUGGACGUAUACGGUGUGACGCCUGCCCGGUGCCGGAAGGUUAAUUGAUGGGGUUAUCCGUAAGGAGAAGCUCUUGAUCGAAGCCCCGGUAAACGGCGGCCGUAACUAUAACGGUCCUAAGGUAGCGAAAUUCCUUGUCGGGUAAGUUCCGACCUGCACGAAUGGCGUAAUGAUGGCCAGGCUGUCUCCACCCGAGACUCAGUGAAAUUGAACUCGCUGUGAAGAUGCAGUGUACCCGCGGCAAGACGGAAAGACCCCGUGAACCUUUACUAUAGCUUGACACUGAACAUUGAGCCUUGAUGUGUAGGAUAGGUGGGAGGCUUUGAAGCGUGGACGCCAGUCUGCGUGGAGCCAACCUUGAAAUACCACCCUUUAAUGUUUGAUGUUCUAACGUUGGCCCCUUACCGGGGUUGCGGACAGUGUCUGGUGGGUAGUUUGACUGGGGCGGUCUCCUCCCAAAGCGUAACGGAGGAGCACGAAGGUUAGCUAAUCCUGGUCGGACAUCAGGAGGUUAGUGCAAUGGCAUAAGCUAGCUUGACUGCGAGCGUGACGGCGCGAGCAGGUGCGAAAGCAGGUCAUAGUGAUCCGGUGGUUCUGAAUGGAAGGGCCAUCGCUCAACGGAUAAAAGGUACUCCGGGGAUAACAGGCUGAUACCGCCCAAGAGUUCAUAUCGACGGCGGUGUUUGGCACCUCGAUGUCGGCUCAUCACAUCCUGGGGCUGAAGUAGGUCCCAAGGGUAUGGCUGUUCGCCAUUUAAAGUGGUACGCGAGCUGGGUUUAGAACGUCGUGAGACAGUUCGGUCCCUAUCUGCCGUGGGCGCUGGAGAAUUGAGGGGGGCUGCUCCUAGUACGAGAGGACCGGAGUGGACGCAUCACUGGUGUUCGGGUUGUCAUGCCAAUGGCACUGCCCGGUAGCUAAAUGCGGAAGAGAUAAGUGCUGAAAGCAUCUAAGCACGAAACUUGCCCCGAGAUGAGUUCUCCCUGAGACUUUAAGUCUCCUGAAGGAACGUUGAAGACGACGACGUUGAUAGGCCGGGUGUGUAAGCGCAGCGAUGCGUUGAGCUAACCGGUACUAAUGAACCGUGAGGCUUAACCUUACAACGCCGAAG
rnacentral:rRNA from 1 species